CCCUUAGAUGUUCUGGGCUGCACGCGCGCGACAAUGACGUUUGCAACGAGAUUGCGAGGCCGUCAGGUCGAGCUGAUCUUGCAAGCUGCGUCGUGAUAGGGACAGUCGAUUGCAAUUAUUCGACUCGAACGAGGAAUACCUUGUAAGCGCGGGUCAUCAUCCCGCGCUGAAUACGUCCCUGCCCUUUGUACACACCGCCCGUCGCUCCUACCGAUUGAGUGGUCCGGUGAGGCUUUGGGAUCUGAGCGGAAAGAGCGUUUCGCUGUUUCUGCUCGGAAAACUCAGUCGAACCUUAUCAUUUAGAGGAAGGAGAAGUCGUAACA
rnacentral:rRNA from 1 species